GUUCCCCGCAGGGGCCCGGGGCGCCCUGAAACGGGGUCCACGUCAGCCCGCUCCCGAGCGUGUCCUCAGGUCUAAGGACGGCGCUGUGAACAAUGGAGCCAUCAAAAAGGCCUUCUCCCAGCCUCCUCACCAACCACGGACAUUCCUGGCCCAACAAGACCUCCUGGCCAGGUUUUGAGCCCUGCUUCCCAGAUCUGGGGACCCUUCACCUGCCUCUACUACUGCAAAUGAUUGGAUAUUCGUCUGACUUGGCUCUUCCCUAAUGUGUGGAACUAAUUUUGUUCACUCUGUUUCAUGCUGGACCUGGCCUGAAAAUGGGCCCUUAUAUUGUCUUUGCACUUUCCAACUUGCCAAGUUUCUGAAAGAAGGACCAAAGUAAUGCCAAGAACUCCCAGAUGAAGAGGACCUUCCUUAGACCUAUAACAGAUUCACUACUUGACUUCAGAGGGAAGUUUCAGCUAAUUCUCAGGAAAAGGUCAAAACAGGCCUGUGACUGUCCCUUGAAUACUGAAGGUAUAAACAAGCUUCUGGCUCCUCCAGGUCAAGCAGAGGAACACUUUUAUUAGAAUGAAGGGU
rnacentral:lncRNA from 1 species